rnacentral:rRNA from 1 species
GUGCCAGCCGCCGCGGUAAUACGAAGGGGGCUAGCGUUGUUCGGAAUUACUGGGCGUAAAGCGCACGUAGGCGGACAUUUAAGUCAGGGGUGAAAUCCCGGGGCUCAACCCCGGAACUGCCUUUGAUACUGGGUGUCUGGAGUCCGGAAGAGGUGAGUGGAAUUCCGAGUGUAGAGGUGAAAUUCGUAGAUAUUCGGAGGAACACCAGUGGCGAAGGCGGCUCACUGGUCCGGUACUGACGCUGAGGUGCGAAAGCGUGGGGAGCAAACAGGAUUAGAAACCCUUGUAGUCC